GAGCAUAGCUCAGCUGGUUAGAGCACCUGCCUUACAAGCAGGGGGUCACUGGUUCGAGUCCAGUUGUCU
rnacentral:tRNA from 1 species